GAUGAACGCUGGCGGCGUGCUUAACACAUGCAAGUCGAACGGAAAGGCCACAGCUUGCUGUGGUACUCGAGUGGCGAACGGGUGAGUAACACGUGGGUGAUCUGCCCUGUACUUCGGGAUAAGCUUGGGAAACUGGGUCUAAUACCGGAUAGGAAUCACAUGUGGGUGUGUGGUUGGAAAGCUUUUGCGGUAUGGGAUGAGCUCGCGGCCUAUCAGCUUGUUGGUGGGGUAAUGGCCUACCAAGGCGUCGACGGGUAGCCGGCCUGGGAGGGUGUACGGCCACAUUGGGACUGCGAUACGGCCCAGACUCCUACGGGAGGCAGCAGUGGGGAAUAUUGCACAAUGGGCGCAAGCCUGAUGCAGCGACGCCGCGUGGGGGAUGACGGCCUUCGGGUUGUAAACUCCUUUCGUCAGGGACGAAGCGAAAGUGACGGUACCUGGAUAAGAAGCACCGGCUAACUACGUG
rnacentral:rRNA from 1 species